rnacentral:lncRNA from 1 species
AAUUCUUUGAACCUGCAUGCCAGAUGGAUUCAUCUAAAGGAGAAAAUACAAAGAAAAAGAUAACCAAAUGUAUAAAACAAAGUUCCAGAACUGAUGAAAUGAUGGAACAAACCACCAGACCAAAACGACCUCGAAGAGCUGCAUUAGCAAAAAAUUACAAGGAACCUUCAAGUUCAGAGUCAGAGAGUGAAAGRAAGUCUUCAGCAUGCACCUCUAAGAAAGAGAAAUCAAAAGCACAGGAACAUAUAAAUGGGCAAAAGAAAAAUGAUAAUCAGCAGAAGGAACUACAGAGUGUUAUAUCURUGGAGCCAAAAAAGAGAGCAGCAGACUAUACACAUAAAACAUUUAUUGAAUCAAAGGAUUCUGCAAAUCAAAAAGAAAUUGAAAUGCCUUCAUCUGAAAGUCCUGCAUCUCUUGAGGCAAUGAGAUUUAAGCAACUGUUUUCUAGGUGCUGAAAGAAUAUCAGAGGGAGAUUUUACUCAAGAGCAUAUUUCUAGUGAAAGAUCACCUGGGCUGC